rnacentral:rRNA from 1 species
GAUGAACGCUGGCGGCGUGCUUAACACAUGCAAGUCGAACGAUGAAGCCCAGCUUGCUGGGUGGUUUAGUGGCGAACGGGUGAGUAACACGUGAGUAACUUGCCCUUAACUCUGGGAUAAGUCUGGUAAACUGGGUGUAAUACCUGACAGGAGCGUCCACCGCAUGGUGGGUGUUGGAGAGAUUUAUCGGUUUUGGAUGGACUCGCGGCCUAUCAGCUUGUCGGUGGGGUAAUGGCUCACGAAGGCGAUGGCGGGUAGCCGGCCUGAGAGGGUGACCGGCCACACUGGGACUGAGACACGGCGCAGCCGCCGACGGGCGGCAGCAGUGGGGAAAAGUGCGAAGGGGGCGCGAGCCGGAAGCAGCGACGCCGCGUGGGGGAUAACGGUCUUCGGGUUGUGAACCACAUUCAGUAGGGAAGAAGCGAAAGUGACGGUACCUGCAGAAGAAGCACCGGCUAACUACGUG